AGAAGAGCUGCCACUUGCCUCUCGCUCUCCAGGUGGACUCUGCGGUUUUUACCCCGCGGCACAAAGUAGCCAGAAUACAAAAACUUCCUGUUUGCCGCCCAGACCUUCUCCAGCUACUGAGAACUUGUUCCGGUGAUGGAGCCUCAAAGGAAUUUGUGGAUUCCUCUCCCACAAGUGUCCAGGGGCAGGGGUGCUGUGAGAAUGUGCAGUUCACAGAGGGAGUGAGAAUGGCAGUCAAAACAUGUACCAGAGCUAAGGGAAAGAAG
rnacentral:antisense_RNA from 1 species